rnacentral:rRNA from 1 species
CCUACGGGAGGCAGCAGUGGGGUAUAUUGGACAAUGGGGGCAACCCUGAUCCAGCCAUGCCGCGUGUGUGAAGAAGGCCCUCGGGUUGUAAAGCACUUUCAGUGAGGAAGAACGCCUGGUGGUUAAUACCCAUCAGGAAAGACAUCACUCACAGAAGAAGCACCGGCUAACUCCGUGCCAGCAGCCGCGGUAAUACGGAGGGUGCGAGCGUUAAUCGGAAUUACUGGGCGUAAAGCGCGCGUAGGUGGCUUGAUAAGCCGGUUGUGAAAGCCCCGGGCUCAACCUGGGAACGGCAUCCGGAACUGUCAAGCUAGAGUGCAGGAGAGGAAGGUAGAAUUCCCGGUGUAGCGGUGAAAUGCGUAGAGAUCGGGAGGAAUACCAGUGGCGAAGGCGGCCUUCUGGACUGACACUGACACUGAGGUGCGAAAGCGUGGGUAGCGAACAGGAUUAGAUACCCGAGUAGUC